AGGCAUUAAGAAAAACAAGACCCNUGCUGCACUUUUCCAACUCCAAGAAAAGAAUUGAAAUGUUUCUUUAGGUGCCAACUGCUCCAACAAAGUUAACCUUCGUCCAAGACCACAAAUGCAUCAACGUUUUCUCUCCUGCCAGACCAAGACAUCACCUUCAUUAAGCUGCACCUGAUGCUCUUCCAUCUAAUCACCUUCAUUCUAAAAGAAACAGUGCUAACAUCCAAUGAAAAAC
rnacentral:lncRNA from 1 species